GAUGAACGCUGGCGGUAUGCCUAAUACAUGCAAGUCGAACGAAGCUGUUUUAACUGGUGCUUGCACCGACUUAAACAACUGAGUGGCGAACGGGUGAGUAACGCGUGGGUAACCUGCCCCAAAGCGGGGGAUAACAUUUGGAAACAGAUGCUAAUACCGCAUAACCACAGAAACCACAUGGUUUCUUUGUCCAAGAUGGUUUCGGCUAACACUUUGGGAUGGACCCGCGGCGUAUUAGCUAGUUGGUAAGGGAAUGGCUUACCAAGGCAAUGAUACGUAGCCGAACUGAGAGGUUGAUCGGCCACAUUGGGACUGAGACACGGCCCAAACUCCUACGGGAGGCAGCAGUAGGGAAUCUUCCACAAUGGACGAAAGUCUGAUGGAGCAACGCCGCGUGAGUGAAGAAGGUUUUCGGAUCGUAAAACUCUGUUGUCAGAGAAGAACGUGUGCGAGAGUAACUGCUCGUGCAGUGACGGUAUCUGGCCAGAAAGCCACGGCUAACUACGUGCCAGCCGCCGCGGUAA
rnacentral:rRNA from 1 species